rnacentral:misc_RNA from 1 species
AAGUCGUAACAAGGUUUCCGUAGGUGAACCUGCGGAAGGAUCAUUAACACGUAUCCAAACGUUAAACCCCCCUGUAAAAUUUCAUUCGUACUCGUACGUCCGUUAGAAAAAGCAGCAAUCCCUGGUAAAUCAUCGCCGAACAGUUUUCGAUUCAGGGACGUCUGCAAGGAGCGUGCAUGUUGUGCGUGUAAGUGGCCUGGCAUCCCCAAUCUGAAAGUGUCACUAACAUGUGGAAGGAUGACGCAGUCACGAUCGUUGGAGGCCCACACGGCCGACGACCGGGUCACCGGGUGCAAGCCCCCUUAUCACACCCCUGCUCUAUCUAUGGUGAUCCUGCGGGAAGUAACGCCGAAACCGAACAACUGUUAACAAUGGAUAUCUUGGUUCUC